rnacentral:rRNA from 1 species
GACGAACGCUGGCGGCGUGCUUAACACAUGCAAGUCGAACGGAAAGGCCCUGCUUUUUUGGGGUGCUCGAGUGGCGAACGGGUGAGUAACACGUGAGUAACCUGCCCUUGACUUUGGGAUAACUUCAGGAAACUGGGGCUAAUACCGGAUAGGAGCUCCUGCUGCAUGGUGGGGGUUGGAAAGUUUCGGCGGUUGGGGAUGGACUCGCGGCUUAUCAGCUUGUUGGUGGGGUAGUGGCUUACCAAGGCUUUGACGGGUAGCCGGCCUGAGAGGGUGACCGGCCACAUUGGGACUGAGAUACGGCCCAGACUCCUACGGGAGGCAGCAGGGGGGAAUAUUGCACAAUGGGCGGAAGCCUGAUGCAGCAACGCCGCGUGCGGGAUGACGGCCUUCGGGUUGUAAACCGCUGUCGCCUGUGACGAAGCGUGAGUGACGGUAAUGGGUAAAGAAGCACCGGCUAACUACGUG